AACGCAAAUUGCGCUCUCUGGUAUUCCGGAGAGCAUGCUUGUUUGAGUAUCAGUAAACACCUCAAAUCCUGGAUUGUUUUUCAGAAUUUGGAUUUGAGUGAUCCCAACACAAACCUUUUCGAAAGGUGUGGCGGGUCGCUUGAAAUGCAGGUGCAGCUGGACUAUUCUUCUGAGCUAUAAGCAUAUUUAUUUAGUCCCGUAAAACGGAUUAUUACUUUUUGCUGCAGCUAACAUAAAGGUUGAUUUGUCCUAAAUGCUGACUGAUGCAGGAAUUUUACAGUUUUGUUGUAGGCGCACAGGCAAUUACACCAACUGUCAAACUCGAUCUCAAAUCAAGUAAGACUACCCGCUGAACUUAA
rnacentral:misc_RNA from 1 species